rnacentral:rRNA from 1 species
AGGACGAACGCUGGCGGCAUGCCUAACACAUGCAAGUCGAACGUGAUCCAGGCUUCGGCUUGGUGAAAGUGGCAGACGGGUGAGUAACGCGUGGGAACCUGCCCUGUGGUAGGGAAUAACCGUGGGAAACUGCGGCUAAUACCCUAUGAGUCCUUCGGGAGAAAGAUUUAUCGCCAUAGGAGGGGCCCGCGUCGGAUUAGGUAGUUGGUGGGGUAACGGCCUACCAAGCCUUCGAUCCGUAGCUGGUCUGAGAGGAUGAUCAGCCACACUGGGACUGAGAUACGGCCCAGACUCCUACGGGAGGCAGCAGUGGGGAAUAUUGGACAAUGGGGGCAACCCUGAUCCAGCAAUGCCGCGUGGAUGAUGAAGGCCUUCGGGUUGUAAAGUCCUUUCGGCGGGAAGAUGAUGACGGUACCCGCAGAAGAAGCCCCGGCUAACUACGCGCCAGCAGCCGC